AUGAACGCUGGCGGCGUGCUUAACACAUGCAAGUCGAACGAAGCAUUUGCGACAGAUUUUUUCGGAAUGAAGUUGCUUAUGACUGAGUGGCGGACGGGUGAGUAACGCGUGGGUAACCUGCCUUGUACUGGGGGAUAGCAGCUGGAAACGGCUGGUAAUACCGCAUAAGCGCACAAUGUUGCAUGACAUGGUGUGAAAAACUCCGGUGGUAUAAGAUGGACCCGCGUCUGAUUAGCUAGUUGGUGAGAUAACAGCCCACCAAGGCGACGAUCAGUAGCCGACCUGAGAGGGUGACCGGCCACAUUGGGACUGAGACACGGCCCAGACUCCUACGGGAGGCAGCAGUGGGGAAUAUUGCACAAUGGAGGAAACUCUGAUGCAGCGACGCCGCGUGAGUGAAGAAGUAAUUCGUUAUGUAAAGCUCUAUCAGCAGGGAAGAUAGUGACGGUACCUGACUAAGAAGCUCCGGCUAAAUACGU
rnacentral:rRNA from 1 species